ACACUUUUGGUUCUCAAACUAUAAAUCGGUUGACACUUUGAUCCUUAUAUUUUAAUUUAUUAUAAUUUCUAGCUAGAACUUUCUGAAUUGUUGCAAUCAAAUCUAACAAUCUAAUUUAAUUAGUUAAAUAUUAAUAAAUUGUUGAUGUAUAAGUAAUAUGAAAGUAUUUAUUGUGAUUGAUAGUACGACUAUAAUUAAGAUGUUGUUUCACUUUUAUAUUAAUAAUUUAUCAAUAUUCAGUCAAGUAAAUUAGAUCGUGGGAUUUGAUUGUAAAAAUUUAUAAAGUUCUAAUAAAAAAAUUAUGAUAAUAAACUUAAGUUUGAGAAUCUAAGUAUCAAAACUCUUAGAGUUUGAGGACCAAAAGUGAAAUUUAUCCCUUAUUUUGAGAGAGAAAUAUAGCAUGCUACGAGUUAAGUUCAUUUUUUUUAAAAAAAUGAACUUAACUCGUAAUGUGAAACAACUAUAGGCUUCAAAUUUAGGAGUGAGGCUACUAUGCUAUCGGAAGCAUGGAGCCUUUCGUGCUUCCAGCUCGUUUUCGAUAUUGCGACUUUCGAAUCGUCGAUCGGCUCCUUUGAAGUACCUAAAAAAUAAAUUUUAUAAUUUUACGAUAUCAUUUGCCUAGUGAACGAAGGGGCUUAAAAUCAACGGCUGAAAAUAAAAAUCUUACAAAAUGUAAUAAUAUGACAUUAAAAUUUUAAAUCAAAGAUAUUGAUCUUGUUUUAUAUAGUAUAAAGAAUUUUCUAUCAAAAUUUCACGUGAUUUGAAUAUUUCUACACCGUUAAACUUACAAACGGCUCAUUACGGCCAUUAAAAUUUCUUGAUUUUGAGCCCAUUCGAUCACUAGGCAAAUGAUAUCGUAAAAUCAUAAAAUUUAUUUUCUAGGUACUUCAAAUACUCUAGAUCAAGUUUAACGGAGCCGAUCGACGAUUCGAAAGUCGCAACAUCGAAAACGAGCUGGACGCACGGAAGGCUCCGUGCUUCCGAUAGCAUAAUAGCCUCACUCCAAAUUUAGAAUCUCGGAUGUCAAUAACCAAGCUCUUUAAUAUUUGCGCUAAAAACGGUCAAUAAAUUUACCCUUUGACAUUCAAAAUAUGAGUUUUCAAUAGUAUUC
rnacentral:lncRNA from 1 species